UUGGUACCUUGUUAUCCCAAGGGGACUGAUUCCAGGACUACCCUUGGAUACCAAAAGCCAUGCAUACUCAAGUUCAGUCAGACCUGUGGAACUGCUGAUAUAAAAAGUCAGCCCUCCAUAUUGGUUGGUUUGUUUUGGAUUUGUGAUUCCUGUAAAACUAAGGAGCAAAUUGAUAUAAACUGGAUUUUAAAAUUAAAUACAGCCUGGAAAUCUUGCAUUCUAGAUUUCUCAGUUUGUUUUGCAGUUAGGAGAGACCACACGACAGAGUUCUGUAUAAGGAUGGUAAGUAGAGACUUCUGCAAAAUACUUAUCUGUUCUUCAUGCUUAGAGGAAAAAGUAGGGAAAGAGGUACCUGAGUCACCCAACCAAAUGACAAAAUACUACAUGAUGAGAACAGUGGAGUAGAACAUGGAAAGAGUCUCACCGAUUGCCUUAUUGAGCAGCUGUGCCAGCCCAGAACCUUCUACCUUUGGCCUCUGUUGUGUGAAACAUUUAUGCCCCUUUCUGUUUAAGCCAGGAUAGCAGGAAUUCAGAGUGCUCAAUUGUUUACAGCUAGGAAUACACUUCUGCUGUAAAGGUUAAGUAAUAACAUGAUUCAAGGAUAAAUAAUUUCAAGAAGACCUUGAAUAAUCAAUACUAUCUAGUUAUAACAUAGUCUGUUUUCUGUUGCUUUUAACAGAAUACCUGCAACUGGGUAAUUUAUUUUAAAAAUGAAUUUAUUUCUUAUAGUUAUGGAGGCUGAGAAGUCCAAGGUCAAGGUGCUGCUUCUAGUGAGAGCAUUCUUGCUGGUGGAGAUGCUCUGCAGAGUCUGAAGGUGAUGCAGUGAUGCACCGGACGAAGGGGCUAAGCAUACUCAGAUCUCACUUUCUCCUCCUGUAGUGCCACUUGCAUGAUAACUCACUAAUCCAUUAACACAUGGGGCCACAGCCCUCAUGACUCUAUCACCUCUUAAAUCCCCUACCUUUCAAUAUUUCUACAUUUGGGGUUAAAUUUCAUCAUGUAUUUUGGGACAAAAUAUUCCAACUAUAGCAAGUUACAUAAACAUAAAAAGUUACAUUUUUAAGACAGAUAUCUUAUAGCUUUCACAAAUUUUCCAAGGAUGGUUAUAAUAUGCAAGAUUACUCAAUGUAUUUGGCCAUAUACUUCCCAAUUUCCCCACAUUUUUCUUAGAAGCUUUAUUGAGAUAUAAUUACAUUCUAUAUAAUUCACCCAUUUAAAGCGUACUGUUCAAGACACUUCUCAAAAGAAGACAUAUGGCCAAGAAGCAUAUAAAAAAUGCUCAACAUCACCAACCAUUAGAGGGAAAUGCAAAUCAAAACUGCAAGAAGAUACCAUCCCACACCAUUCGAAAUGCCCACUAUUAUAAAGUUUAAAAAUAACAGAUGCUGGCCUGCAGAGAAAAGGGAACACUUACACGCUGCUAUUAGUUCAGCCACUGUGGAAAGUAGUUUGGAGAUUUCUUUAAGAACUGAAAAUGGAACUAUCAUUUGAUCCAUAAAUCCCAUUACUGGUUAUAUACCCAAAGGAAUGUUAAUAUAUCUACUAUAAUAACUCAUGCAUGUGUAUGUUCAUUGUGGCACUAUUCAUAAUAGCAAACACAGGGAGCCAAUCUAAAUGUCAUCAACGGUGGGCUGGCUAAAGGUGUGGCAUAUGUAUACCACAGAAUACUACACGGUCAUUAGAAAGAACAAAAGCAUGUUCUUCGCAGCAACAUGGAUGGAGCUGGAGGCCAUUAUCCUAAGUGAAUUAAUGCAGGAACAGCAAACCAAAUAUGGUAUUUUCUCACCCAUAAGUGGGAGUUAACAUUGAUUAUGCAUGGACACAAAGACAGAAACAAUAGACACAGGGGUUCUCCACUUGAGAGUGGAGGUUGGGAAGAGGGUAAGGGUAAAAAAAUACCUAUCAGAUACUAUGCUUAUUACCUCUGUGAUGAAAAAAAUCUGUACACCAAACCCCUUGAUUCAUAAUUUAUCCAUGUAACAAACCUCCACAAGCGCCCCUGAACUUAGAAUAAAAGUUGGAAAGAAAAAAAGUGUACAGUUGAUUGGUUUUUAAUGUGUUCUGAGAUUCCCAACCAUUGCCAUCACCUAAUGGGAGAACAUUUUAUUACCCCAAAAAGGGACCCAGUACCUCCCUAUUUGCUAUGUAUUCUGAGGAAGAGUAGGUAACAUGUAAGGCUUAAAUUUUAUGCAAAAAUUCUACAUUUAUAAAUGUAUAUACUUUAUAAAAUGAGCAUUGUCUUUCUAGUUUUUCUAGUUGGCAAUAUGAAUUUGGUAGAAAUAUGAUUAAAUAUGAAAUAUCAGGAUUUUUACCUUUGAUAUCCUCACGUCUAUUACAAAUUAUGACUGAUGUGAUUUUGCUGUGUGUCCCCAGCCAAAUCCCAUCUUUAAUUAUAAUUUCCACAAGCUGAGGGAGUGGCCUGAUUGGAGGUGAUUGAGUCAUGGGGCAGAGUUCCUCUUGCUGUUUUCCUGAUAGAGUUCUCAUGAGAUCUGGUUGUUUGAUAAACAUGUGGUGCUUCCUACUUCUCUGUCUCUCCUCCUCUAUGUAAGAUGUGCCUUCCUUCCCCUUCACCUUCUGCCAUGAUUAUAACUUUCCUAAGGCCACCUCAGCCAUAUAGAACUGUGAGUCAAUGAAACCUCUUUUCUGUAUAAACUACUCAGUCUCAGGUAAUUCUUUAUAUUGUAAAAAUGGACUAAUACUAGACCAAAAUUAACCUGGCUGCUGCAGAUUAGAGAGCUAUUAUGUGAAAGAUGAGACUGAUAUUUAAGCAUUUGCCUAUUUGGAUGUAUUUAGACUAGUAUUAAACAUAGAGUGAAAUCACAUUCAAGAAAAAAUUUAGAUAAGAUAACGGAUGGCCUGUUGAGUCUUUUGCUUUCUUUUAGAAAGACUGCCCCAAACAGAGUUGUGAAGUAAGAGAAAGUUUCUUUUGGAUUUCCUCUAU
rnacentral:lncRNA from 1 species